AAAAAAACAUGUUGUGGAAAAUACCGGAAUGUCCCUUUACUUCUAAAUUGCUCCACGUGGACAUCUUCAUCAUCUUUCCCUAUUCUAACUUUUGUUUCUUUCAUUGCAUGCUUUGAAAAGACAAAAUAUUUUUCAAAAUGAGACUGCAUAAAGUAUCAUCAUUAGCCUGCAAACUAUUCUCAUGAUCAAUGCAUUUUUUUCAAAAUCUUUUUUUCAUUUCUCUCUCCCACUACCUUUUCAUUUCUUUCUACCACUACCACUACUCUACCCACUUUAUUUCCUUCUUCCUAUUUUCUUUCUUCCACUUCUUCCCCUUCUUUCUUCAUCAUCUUCUUAUUAUAUUUUUCUCUCUUUCAAAAUGAUUUACAAAAAAGGUUUACGAAAAAAAAUUGUUUAUGAAAAUGGUUUAUAAAUAUUUUGAUUAUUAUUUCUUCUCCUUAUUUUUAUUUUUUUAGAAAUGGUUAACAAAAAUUAUUUCUUCCAAAAAUUCUUGCAAAAACUUGUCUUCAUAAGAAGAAAAAAUAUUUUUAUUGAUGCAUGGUUAAUGAUUGGUUUGACUCAUUAUUUUCUUGAUUAGCUUUUUAAAUAGGUUUGUUGAGGAAGUAAGUGUUCAUCUUCUUCAUCCGAAUGCAGAGACUAUUAGAUAGAGGUUGAGGAUGAGAUUCUUGAAGAGUUGGAGUUUUGGGUUUGAUUUUUUGAUUUUGUUAAUUGUAUGUUGAAGGAAUUUGUUAAAAAGGAUGAUUGUGUUCAAAAUUUUGGUUGAAGUUCUUGAUUUAUCUGAGUUUGUGGAUGAAUAUGUCAGAAAUGUGAUUGAAAUUUUGGUUGUUGUUC